rnacentral:rRNA from 1 species
AGCAGCCGCGGUAAUUCCAGCUCCAAUAGCGUAUAUUAAAGUUGUUGCAGUUAAAAAGCUCGUAGUUGAAUUUCGGGAUCAAAUUGUUGGUCGUGCCUCGGUACGCACUGGUAUUAUUGGUUCCUACCUUCUGAAGAACCGCGAUGUCAUUAAUUUGGUGUCGUGGGGAAUCAGGACUGUUACUUUGAAAAAAUUAGAGUGUUUAAAGCAGGCUUACGCUUGAAUACAUUAGCAUGGAAUAAUGAAAUAGGACGUUUGAUUCUAUUUUGUUGGUUUCUAGGAUUGACGUAAUGAUUAAUAGGGAUAGUUGGGGGCAUUAGUAUUCAAUUGUCAGAGGUGAAAUUCUUGGAUUUAUUGAAGACUAACUACUGCGAAAGCAUUUGCCAAGGAUGUUUUCAUUAAUCAAGAACGAAAGUUAGGGGAUCGAAGACGAUCAGAUACCGUCGUAGUCUUAACCAUAAACUAUGCCGACUAGGGAUCGGAUGAUGUUAAUUUUUAAUGUACUCAUUCGGCGC